GGUGGUCUAGUGGUUAAGAUUCAGCACUCUCACUGCUGUAGCCUGGGUUCGGCUCCUGGUC
rnacentral:tRNA from 1 species